AGCUUUGUGCACUGGCAGUAUCAUAGCCAAUGAGGUUUACCCAAGGCACAAUAAUUGCUAACGGCAAACAGCAUAAAACCAACUGCCAAAAAAUGCUUUGUGUUCUACAAGGCUUAUGAAAAGAACCAGAUAUAGACAAGUGCCAUUUUUGCUACAAAGAAAGCUUU
rnacentral:snRNA from 1 species